GUACAAUAUCAAGUAGUAGGAGGUCUAGUGUGGGGCUUCCCUACCCUCUAAAUCCAAACGACAGAGUACAUUUGACACCAAUAAAUGUAGAGGGGUCACAAAGACAACUACUUGCAUUAUAAAAAACAUUUCAAAGGUUCAUGGCCAACAUGGAGAAAGUUCCUAGUGAUGUGAAGGAAUCGAUGUGGAAGACAUUUUAGAUGAGAGGACGAAGGCAAUGAAAGAAGCUGGUGCUACUAACAUUAAAGAAUGCAAAGGAAUGGAAAGGGAAUGGAUCACAAAAGAUGUGUGAGAUGCCCUCAUUGGAAAUGAAUGGGGAACAGAUGCAUGGCAAUCCAAAUUAGGAAAAGCAAAGGCAAACCACUUAAUAGAGAAAGAAGGAAGCAUUACAAAGCACACGGGUGGUUCACCACCUUUUGCUAUUCAUGGUAUCAAGUUGGAUGAGAAGCUAGGUAAGGAGGUAGGAUAUUCUAAAAUUUUUCAAGCUACACACAAGCGCAAGGAUGGAGAGGGUGAAUUUGUGGACAACAAGUCAAGACUUGUCAAUG